GAUGAACGCUGGCGGCGUGCCUAAUACAUGCAAGUCGAGCGAACAGACGAGGAGCUUGCUCCUCUGACGUUAGCGGCGGACGGGUGAGUAACACGUGGAUAACCUACCUAUAAGACUGGGAUAACUUCGGGAAACCGGAGCUAAUACCGGAUAAUAUAUUGAACCGCAUGGUUCAAUAGUGAAAGACGGUUUUGCUGUCACUUAUAGAUGGAUCCGCGCCGCAUUAGCUAGUUGGUAAGGUAACGGCUUACCAAGGCAACGAUGCGUAGCCGACCUGAGAGGGUGAUCGGCCACACUGGAACUGAGACACGGUCCAGACUCCUACGGGAGGCAGCAGUAGGGAAUCUUCCGCAAUGGGCGAAAGCUUGACGGAGCAACGCCGCGUGAGUGAUAAAGGUCUUCGGAUCGUAAAACUCUGUUAUUAGGGAAGAACAAAUGUGUAAGUAACUAUGCACGUCUUGACGGUACCUAAUCAGAAAGCCACGGCUAACUACGU
rnacentral:rRNA from 1 species